rnacentral:rRNA from 1 species
UUGAAGGGCAAAUCUGGUGCCAGCAGCCGCGGUAAUUCCAGCUCCAAUAGCGUAUAUUAAAGUUGUUGCAGUUAAAAAGCUCGUAGUUGAAUUUCGGGAUCAAUAUGUCGGUCGUGCCUCCGGUACGUACUGGCGUCAUUGGUUUCUCCCUUCUGAUGAACUACGAUGUCAUUAAUUUGGUGUCAUGGGGAAUCAGGACUGUUACUUUGAAAAAAUUAGAGUGUUUAAAGCAGGCUCACGCUUGAAUACAUUAGCAUGGAAUAAUGAAAUAGGACGUUUGAUUCUAUUUUGUUGGUUUCUAGGAUCGACGUAAUGAUUAAUAGGGAUAGUUGGGGGCAUUAGUAUUCAAUUGUCAGAGGUGAAAUUCUUGGAUUUAUUGAAGACUAACUACUGCGAAAGCAUUUGCCAAGGAUGUUUUCAUUAAUCAAGAACGAAAGUUAGGGGAUCGAAGACGAUCAGAUACCGUCGUAGUCUUAACCAUAAACUAUGCCGACUAGGGAUCGGAUGAUGUUAAUUUUUUAAUGACUCAUUCGGCACCUUACGGGAAAC